GUUACUACAUGAUUACAUGUGUGUUAUUUCAUAGUUUUGAUGUCUUCACUAUUAUUCUACAAUGUAGAAAAGAGUAAAACUGAAGAAAAACCCUGGAAUUAGUAGGUGUGUCCAAAGUUUUGAUGGGUAUUGUAGGUCAAAUUAAGAUCCUACAUUUGUAAUUGGGGGACUUAUGUCCUUUGACGUCUCACUGAUGGCUACAAAUAAUGACACUCUCCCUAAUCACCACGAGAAGACUUUUAUGUGCCUCAGGGCGGAGGCACACACACAUGCAAGCGAACACAAACACACAUGAACAUAGACCCCCCCACACUUAAAAACAUACACCCCCCCACACCUCCUCUGCUCGUGUCUGAGUUACAGCUCCAAGAGCUUGAUUUCGAUAAAAUGUCAGUUUUAAUGGAAAAUGUGAUGGAAACAAAACAGCAGCUUGGAAUAUUGCUUGUGUUAGUAGGAAAGGGGAGGAAAGUGCAAGGGUGCUGGUAGUGGUGGGGCUAGUUUCUCUUUUGAUUGUACUUUUUAGGAAUUAAUUGGUUGUCUGUGUGAUAUUAGUGUUGCAGUAAAUGUAGCCCCCAGGCAGCCCGGCAGGCCGGCCUCACCAUAGAUAUAAAGCAGAUGUUCUAUAUGGGCCUCAGCAGCUGAUGGAAAAGGGGAUGGGAGAGGCUCUCUCUUUUUCUCUCUCUCUCUCUCUCCCUCUCUCUCUCUACUGUAAGUAUCCCUUAUCGUGACACAUUGUGAGUUACAUUCCCAUUAGAAAGGAAUGACUCUGUUUGGACCACUGGCAUCUCAUUAUGUCAAUUGAUGUCCAAGUGCUGGUGUAUUUUAAUGAUGACGACCAUGCAACCCAGACCUGCUGUGCUUUUACAUACAGUCAAAGCAGUAGGUAUUUCCUCCAUCUCAGGGCUGCUUAAUGUGUUAUGCACCAUGGGCUACUCAAGUAUGUUGGGGAUCUCUUGCAGUAACUCUGGUGUUGAUACCUCGCCUUGUGCUUACUGUUUGUUUUUAGGGUAAUUUCAGCUCCACAGCUACUCAGAGGCAGAAUCUCCAUUUGGCACCAUGGUAAAACAUUCCUUCUGUUAACAGUUCUGGAAUAUGAAGAGAUGAAACGGAGAAAGCCCCAUGCACUUCUCAGAACACCAUUAGGCUGCAGAGCAGAGCAGAGCAGAGCGAUCAGAGCGGUGCCGCCCAGGCUCAGGCCUCGCACCAGAGUGCAAAUUACAGGGGGCCCAGGGGGGUCUCAGACACCCUGAAUGAGACAUAAGUCCCCCUAAAUGCAACAAAAUCAAACUCUAAAUAAAGCAAAUUGAACCAUUGUCCUAUUUGUUUAAAAGGCUAUUUGUACUGCUACAGUGGUAAAUAUUAAAAUAAAAGCUUAUUAAAUGAA